rnacentral:lncRNA from 1 species
GGUUUCUGUUAUUUGGCACAAUAAAAGCACUGCUCUAUAUCCUUACUUCCUUCUCUGAAAAUACAGCAGGUAGUGUUUACUUGCAUUUCUGAGGUUGUAGUGUUUAGCCUUUGAAAACACCUUAGAAACAUUGCAGCACUGGAGGACAGCAGAGCAAUUAAUCUUGUUGAAGUUUUCAAUUCCAUACAAGCAUGAGCCAAGAUUUUUUUUUUAAAUAGUCAAAUUAAAAGAAGUUUUUGGAAGACCUUGACAUAGAACCAGAAUGAUGUCAUGACUUGUAUCCCAGUUUGAAUUAAAAUACAGCAAAACCUGAAAGGCAUUAUGUGAUGUGUUACACUUGAAUGACCAGACUGGAUUAAAUCUAACAAACCAGAAGCUUCAGGGACUGCCUCCGCUGCCGACUGCCUGCAUGGAUUCGAGUGGAUUGCUUAGCAGCAGACUAACUGUAGUGGAAUGAAAUGAAGAGAGAGAAAUUACAGUGGCUGUCAGAAGAAGCUUUCUAGCCAUACAAAGUAUAAUGUCCUUGCAGUGAUUCCUGUGAAAAGAUAAAAGCAAUACCUCGGGGAACAACAACAAAAAAAAAAGUAGACUGGGCUGGAUGAAUAAUUCCUUGAAUUCAAAAGGACUUUUUUUUUUUUUUUUUUUCUUCUUGGAUCUCAGCCUGAUUUACA